UACGGGGGGGGCAAGCGUUGUUCGGAAUUACUGGGCGUAAAGGGCUCGUAGGCGGCCAACUAAGUCAGACGUGAAAUCCCUCGGCUUAACCGGGGAACUGCGUCUGAUACUGGAUGGCUGGAGAUUGGGAGAGGGAUGCGGAAUUCCAGGUGUAGCGGUGAAAUGCGUAGAUAUCUGGAGGAACACCGGUGGCGAAGGCGGCAUCCUGGACCGGUAUUGACGCUGAGGCGCGAAAGCUAGGGGAGCAAACGGG
rnacentral:rRNA from 1 species